rnacentral:rRNA from 1 species
UAGGGAACCUGCCCAUGCGGCCGGGACAACUUCCGGAAACGGAUGCUGAUACCGGAUAAGGAAAGCGAAGGCAUCUUUGCUUUGUUAAAGGAGCUGCAAGGCUCCGCGCAUGGAUGGACCUGCGGUGCAUUAGCUGGUUGGUGAGGUAAAGGCUCACCAAGGCGACGAUGCAUAGCCGGCCUGAGAGGGCGAACGGCCACACUGGGACUGAGACACGGCCCAGACUCCUACGGAAGGCAGCAG